AUAAAUGUAAAUAAAAACAAAAAAUAAAGAGAGCAAAUUUUCGUGUGUCUUGAAUGCAAUAGCAUAUUUGACGAUGAUUAUAAAAGAAAACACGAAUUGAAACAGCAUGAUGGUGAAAAAGUGAAAACUAAACACUUUGGUGUCCCUGAUAAUCCUUUUGUUGCUGUUUCAAAUAAGAAUCUUUUCACAGAAAAAACCAUAUCAAAGGCAAGUAAAGCUACUUUAUCUUCAUUUGAGAGUUCAUCAAACCUGGAAAACUUAUAUUCAACUUCUUUACAAAAUCCACUGGAGUUAUCAAAAUCAGAAUACGACAUAAAACAUAACUCUGCUGAGCCAAUCAUGACAGGCCUAAGCACCACCAAAAGUAUUCGAACUGUUGAUAAUGUUGUUAAAGAAGCUACAUAUUCUGAGAUUAUUAAUGAUAACUUAGAUAAGAUUUAUGUUAUGUAUGUAUGUUAUGUUAUUAAUGAUAACUCAGGUAAGAUUUAUGUUAUGUAUAUAUGUUAUGUUAUUAAUGAUAAAUCGGGUAAGCUUCUUAUCAUUUAAGAGCUUAAAAACUUAGUUUUGAUAUAGUAU